rnacentral:rRNA from 1 species
GACGUAGGAGACGAGCGUUGUCCGGAUUUACUGGGCGUAAAGCGCGCGCAGGCGGCCCCGCAGGUCGGUUGUAAAAGCCCCCGGCUCAACCGGGUGGAGGCGAGCGAAACCGCGGGGCUGGAGGCUGGCAGAGGGUGGUGGAAUUCCCGGUGUAGUGGUGAAAUGCGUAGAGAUCGGGAGGAACACCCGCGGCGAAGGCGGCCACCUGGACCAGACCUGACGCUGAGGCGCGAAGGCCGGGGGAGCGAACGGGG